rnacentral:rRNA from 1 species
CCCUUAGAUGUUCUGGGCCGCACGCGCGCUACACUGACGAAGUCAGCGAGCAUGUCCUACGCCGACAGGUACGGGGAAUCUUGUCAAACUUCGUCGUGAUGGGGAUUGAUUAUUGAAAUUCUUGAUCAUCAACGAGGAAUUCCUAGUAAGCGCAAGUCAGCAGCUUGCGUUGAUUACGUCCCUGCCCUUUGUACACACCGCCCGUCGCUACUACCGAUUGAAUGGUUUAGUGAGAUCUUCGGAUUGGCGCCACUGCGGCUCAGCAAUGGGCUCGGUGGAUGCCGAAAAGUUGAUCAAACUUGAUCAUUUAGAGGAAGUAAAAGUCGUAACA